AUCCUUCUCGGUUUAUCAUAUGAUGAGUGGGUGUGUCACGUAUAUACGUGAGAGGUACUGACCCACAACUUGUUACGCAUCAGUGCCUCAGCCAUUCUGACC